UUGGGGGCCGCCUGCCCGUGCCCAGGGCUGAGGCGACACUGCCUUACUGGGUCCCUCUUUCUCUGAGACCCCCAAAGCAGCUACCAGCACGAUGGAAGACAUGGUCAAACAGAAGCCUGGAGAUUCCCUGGGGCCCUUUGUGAUCUGCCUCAUCAUCUGUACCCUGACCUCCCAGGCAACUGGGCUCCUCCUGAUACCGUAGACUGUUUGCCUUUCCUGGGAUCUUCUGAAUGUGGAAUUGUAUAGUUUGCGGUCCUUCUGUCUGGCUUUUUCCACUUAGAUGCUUGUUUUGGAAUCCAGCCACAUGGCCUCACAUGUCCAUAGUUCCUUCUUUCUCUUGGGGAGUGGGGUUUCAUUACAUGAAUAGACCACAGUUUUCCUGUUCACUCCAAAGGACAUCUGGAUUGACUCUGCUUUGUAUACAAAUAAAGCUGCUGUGAACCUU